GAUGAACGCUGGCGGCGUGCCUAAUACAUGCAAGUCGAACGAAACUUCUUUAUCACCGAGUGCUUGCACUCACCGAUAAAGAGUUGAGUGGCGAACGGGUGAGUAACACGUGGGCAACCUGCCCAAAAGAGGGGGAUAACACUUGGAAACAGGUGCUAAUACCGCAUAACCAUAGUUACCGCAUGGUAACUAUGUAAAAGGUGGCUAUACUACCGCUUUUGGAUGGGCCCGCGGCGCAUUAGCUAGUUGGUAGGGUAAAGGCUUACCAAGGCAAUGAUGCGUAGCCGAAGUGAGAGGUUGAUCGGCCACAUUGGGACUGAGACACGGCCCAAACUCCUACGGGAGGCAGCAGUAGGGAAUCUUCCACAAUGGGCGAAAGCCUGAUGGAGCAACGCCGCGUGGGUGAAGAAGGUCUUCGGAUCGUAAAACCCUGUUGUUAGAGAAGAAAGUGCGUGAGAGUAACUGUUCACGUUUCGACGGUAUCUAACCAGAAAGCCACUGCUAACUACGUG
rnacentral:rRNA from 1 species